AACUGGAGGCUCAACCUCCAGCCUGCAGUGGGUACGGGCAGACUAGAGUGCAGUAGGGGAGACUGGAAUUCCUGGUGUAGCGGUGAAAUGCGCAGAUAUCAUCAGGAACACCGAUGGCGAAGGCAGGUCUCUGGGCUGUUACUGACGCUGAGGAGCGAAAGCAUGGGUAGCGAACAGGAUUAGAUACCCUGGUAGUCCACGCCGUAAACGAUGAGUGCUAGUUGUCGGCAUGCAUGCAUGUCGGUGACGCAGCUAACGCAUUAAGCACUCCGCCUGGGGAGUACGACCGCAAGGUUGAAACUCAAAGGAAUUGACGGGGGCCCGCACAAGCGGUGGAG
rnacentral:rRNA from 1 species